CAGACACGCUACGAACCAGGAAAUUAGUAUAGCGCUCGGCGUCGGAAUCUCGGUAGAGGGUGGACAGUAAUACGAAUUUGGACGGCCCUGGCCGUCCGAGAACAGCGGGGAGAAUUAUGCGGCUGCCUCCCACCGGCUCUCCAACCUUAUCCAAGUAGCGCAUAAUCUUGGCUAGAAUUAGUUUUUGCAUUGAACCAUCGGUAUUUGCGAUUUUUCAACGUUAGCACGCUGCUCGAACAAAUCGUCGCUUCCUACGUGAUAUGGCUAUGUAAAUCGAUCAACGUUCAGGAUAAUUUGAUAUUUUAUUCGGAACUCAAACGUUGCUUGUGUAUCAUCAUCAAACGUUUCGCGAUGGCUAAUUGAUUUUAUCAAAGAGUAAGGUUUCAUCGAUAUUUCCAUGUUUAUUACUAAGUUAAUGAUAGAAAUCAAGAGGUGAUUUCGCAUUGGUCACUGGCUCGACUUGAGUGCGUGUGUAACCAAAUCAAGGCAUUGACGGGACCAGAGACAAGUAUUAAUCAUUAUUUUGAAUCUUUCCAACUUUUAUCAGAUUGAUUUAAUGUAAAUUAGUCGUAAUUCCGUCUAAAAUUUAGCUAUCAACUCUAAAAUUGUUUCUGCAAAUUGAACCAGGCACAGAUGAUAAUUUAUUAAAUUAAUACAAGGCUUUUGUCACUUUUAUCAGAAUCUAUAAUUACCAAAGUUCAAGGAUUAUUUCAUGACGAUUUAAUCAGUUUCUCAAUGAUAAUUUUUUCAAUUUACUAUAAUUUCAUACGACUCUUUUUUUUUUUUAUAAAAUGUUGUAUGUCUAAUGUACAAGAAAAUUUCGUAUUUUGAAGGAUAUCGCAAAUUGUAGGAAGUGUGGUUGUUUAUCGUGUUAAAUUUGUUACACUCGUCACACCGAUAUUGUGCACGAAAAUAUGCGCGUGUAUAUUCGCUGCGUCAUUACGUAAGAUUACUGUGUCUUCCAAAUCAGCAAAUUUUCUGAUAAUUCCAAUAAACAGUUAUAUUUUUUUUUAAAUUAACCGAUGAACUUUCAUUAUCGCAAAUAUUUUCAUUCCUUUAAUUAAAAUUACUACAUUUUCUUUUCCCUACUUUUGUAAAAGAACAGUAUUUGCUGAUACGAUGAGUUUUAUGUUAGCAGAGUGUAUUUUAAUUAUUUACAAAUGGUCGGAUUUUUGUUUUGAUUUUUGCAUUACACGAAUUAUAAUUUUACAUUUUGACGCUAAAAUAUUUUUUAUUUAAAUACAUCUCUUUCCUCACAUUACCAUAUCUCGAUAGUUGUUAAUAUAUUUUUUACUAACGGUUUUUCAUUAUUUAUAAACGAUAAGUAUUUCAAAGUAUAAAUAAUGGUGGGUAAAGCGCGAAUAUUUAUGUAAAUUCAUAUUUUUAAACGAAACAGAAGAUAAGCAAAAGUUCGUUUCACUGAAUAUUCCAGCUUAUAACAAUUACUAUACUUUGGAUAUUUUAUAUAGUUUUUCGCAUUAUGUACACGUCUAUUCUGCGCAUUUCUACACUUUCAAAUACAUAAACAUCCGCGGUCUAAUAAUGAGGUUCACUAUUAUCGUGUCUGACUCAUGAAGGAUGCAUUUCACUUACUUUCAACAUUCAAUGAGUAUGAUCAAGCUUCCGUACACGAGUAUUCAGAAUAUUUUUCAUUCGUGUUACCUUCUAAUUUUCUUUGAAAAAUAAUAUCAAUUUCUCUAAGUAAAAAUAACGUUAAAUUCUAUUUCUCAGGUUAUAUUUUCAUACAAUUGUUUUCGUCUUUCUAUUUUUUAUCAUACACCCAUCUUAUCUUUCUUUAAUAUUAUUUUUUAAUACAGUAUAAUGUGAGUUAUGAUUUUCAAUCAAUUAGAAUUGCUUCUUCUUCUCGGAAUAAAAGUUUCUAAUUAUUAAAUUGUAUACUUUUAAGAAUAUCAAUGCCUGGAAAAAAUUGCUGAAAAGAUUUAAUCAGAUAAAAAACAUUAUGGCUCUUUCGUAAUUACGUUAACCGUGCAUAAAUUGUAUUUAAUAUUAAGUAUUGUGAAUUCGUCUGGAAUUUCGAUCUGAAACAGGUGAAUAUAUUUCCUUUAAAAGCCAGUUGUAUUCGCAAACAUAUGAGUAAUUUCAUGAAUAAUGCCUUUACUAUGUCGAGGGUGCUAUUUUAAACUUUAUAUAGAUCUUGUAUGUAGAUAUAUGACGAAUACAGUUGCAGCACAGCUCCCUUCUAAUUUAUUUCAUCCAGAUCAAUUUAUCGAACUAAAAAUGGAAUUUAACUAUUCAUAUACAUUAACAUAUUUUUUUUACAUUAACAUAUUCUUAUCUGAGUAAUCAAUCUCUUAACUGGUUUUGAUAGUAACUACUACUAUUUUUAUCGUGUGUAUUCUCUUGUUUAAAAAUUUUAUUCUUUCGUACUUUAUUUAUUUCUCAAAACUAAGAAUGUAGCGAAAAUAUUAAGAAUAAAAUUUCAUAAUUGUAUAAUUUGUCGCCGUUCUUUGUUGAAUAUAAUUUCGAGCGAAAAAUUCCUUAUCGAAACAAUUUCGUUGAAUAUUUUGCCGAUAUCUAAUUAUAAAAGUCAACGACAUCAUGAUCAGAUAUCUUACACAUUAUUUGCAUAAAAGAACAUGGAAUUAUUGAAGUUAUUUAUAAUGAUAUAUGUAACAAGUUUUAUUGUACAAUUUUUUAAAUAAACCCACAAAAAUAUAAAGUUUGUUAAUAAAGAGAUUUUAUAGAAACAUUUUUCCAUAGAAUAUCUUAUUUCUAUUGAUUAUAUAACUUUCUAUUUUCGAUUGAACGUAAGCGAAUAUAAUUAUAUAUACAGGUAAUUUUUAUAUUCUAAAUAAUAUUGGGUGCCGUUACUACGAAUAUAUAUUGUAAAUUCAUUUUAAUCUCCUAUAGUGAGUUAUGGAGAAAUAUUGUUGAUACAUUAAGCAGACAACUAGAAACUGUGCACGUGCAUAUGGAUCAUCGAUCACAAGAACAAACAAUUUUAAGUUAUACGUUGAUAAUCGUAUGUGCACAGAUGAUAGAAGAGAGUCUGCUUGUUAAAUAUUAAUAGUUGCUUUCCAAAGUAAUAAUAAUAGCAAGGCAAACAAUUUUUUCGAAAUUGCGUUGAAUGUCUUCGAAAAAUAUAUUGGAAUAUCGAUAUCAAUUUACCGGCUGCUAUGUAGCAUCGUAUAAUUUCGUGUUGUAAAAAAAGAAGGAAUCGAACGAGGCGUAGAAAUUCUGUAAAAAAGAUGAAGUCAACCUUGAAAUCCUCUUUAUGCCUACAGUUGCAAGAAAAAAUCUAUCGUUACCGUAUUCUGACCUUCUUCGUGGUAUAAAAUAUUUGUCUGCAAUUUUUUAACAUGUUCAAAAUAUUUCAGUAAUAUUUCAUGCGAAUAAACUUAUUAUUUCAUAUCAAAAAAAUUGAGGUAUACGAUAAAAACGAAAUCUUGAAAGUCAUUUCGCAAAAUCAAUCUUUUUCCCAUAAGCCUCCAUUUUUCAUGGUAUAUUUAAUUCGUGAAUUGUACGAUACGAUAAGUGGCUCGUCCGGGCUAUGAAUUAGCAUGAAUCAAGCAUUUUUUGUUAUUGUCAUAAUGAGAACGAUAUUUUCUUCAAGAAAGUUAUUUUUCAUUUCGAGCAGAAAAAAGCUGAUGGCGAGAGAAAAAACUUAUUUCGUGGACUGCAGUUGCAUACAAGUUAGAUGACGAUGAAACUCGAGACUGGUUCCAUUUUGGUUUAUGAGGUUGUUGUUGUUAUAGCCGCCAAUAAUAAUGUUCAAAAUAACAUUCAGCAAUGUAGAGAAUCUAUUUUUCCGCAAAAUCGAAUUCUUUUAAUUCGGAUACAUGUAAAUUCCAGAUGAACUUUGAUAGUGUUUUCUAGAGAGAAUUAUUUUGUAUUCUGUCAUUAUUUAUAAUUAGGAAAAUUAUUAUACAGAAUCGCUACAUUUCACAAUCAAGUAAUAAAUUCAUCCACCUACGUUUAAAUUUUUUAAUUUCGUCCACUUUUUUCUAUUUUUGCCUCCUACAGAAACAUCGUCAAUUAAAUCUUUGAACCUAACAGAUUCUUCUCAUUUUCACCUAUUUCAUAUUAAAAUCUUAUAUCAAAAAUAUCAACAAAAAUAUCAAAAAAAAAAAAAAAAAAUAAAUAAAUAAAUAUUACAAA